rnacentral:rRNA from 1 species
AGAGUUUGAUCCUGGCUCAGGACGAACGCUGGCGGCGUGCCUAAUACAUGCAAGUCGAGCGAGCUUGCCUAGAUGAUUUUAGUGCUUGCACUAAAUGAAACUAGAUACAAGCGAGCGGCGGACGGGUGAGUAACACGUGGGUAACCUGCCCAAGAGACUGGGAUAACACCUGGAAACAGAUGCUAAUACCGGAUAACAACACUAGACGCAUGUCUAGAGUUUGAAAGAUGGUUCUGCUAUCACUCUUGGAUGGACCUGCGGUGCAUUAGCUAGUUGGUAAGGUAACGGCUUACCAAGGCAAUGAUGCAUAGCCGAGUUGAGAGACUGAUCGGCCACAUUGGGACUGAGACACGGCCCAAACUCCUACGGGAGGCAGCAGUAGGGAAUCUUCCACAAUGGACGAAAGUCUGAUGGAGCAACGCCGCGUGAGUGAAGAAGGGUUUCGGCUCGUAAAGCUCUGUUGGUAGUGAAGAAAGAUAGAGGUAGUAACUGGCCUUUAUUUGACGGUAAUUACUUAGAAAGUCACGGCUAACUACGUGCCCAGCAGCCGCGGUAAUACGUAGGUGGCAAGCGUUGUCCGGAUUUAUUGGGCGUAAAGCGAGUGCAGGCGGUUCAAUAAGUCUGAUGUGAAAGCCUUCGGCUCAACCGGAGAAUUGCAUCAGAAACUGUUGAACUUGAGUGCAGAAGAGGAGAGUGGAACUCCAUGUGUAGCGGUGGAAUGCGUAGAUAUAUGGAAGAACACCAGUGGCGAAGGCGGCUCUCUGGUCUGCAACUGACGCUGAGGCUCGAAAGCAUGGGUAGCGAACAGAAGUAGAUACCCUGGUAGUCCAUGCCGUAAACGAUGAG